rnacentral:rRNA from 1 species
GAUGAACGCUGGCGGCGUGCCUAAUACAUGCAAGUCGAGCGAACAGACGAGGAGCUUGCUCCUCGGACGUUAGCGGCGGACGGGUGAGUAACACGUGGAUAACCUACCUAUAAGACUGGGAUAACUACGGGAAACCGGAGCUUAUACCGGAUAAUAUAUUGCACCGCAGGGUGCAAUAGUGAAAUACGGUGUUUCGGGCACUAAUAGAUGGAUCCGCGCCGCAUUAGGUUGUUGUUAAGGUAACGGGUUACCAAGGGGAGUAUGCGUAGACGACCGCAGGGGGGGGUAGCCGGCCUUGGAACGUGACCAGCGACAAUACGCCUACGGGAGGCAGCAGACGGGAACGGUCCGCAAUGGGGGAGAGUCUGACAGAGCAGAGGGGAGCCAGAUACGGAGGCGCUCCGAUCGUAAAGCUCUGUUUUUGGUGGUGAACAGAUGUGUAAUUAACUGUGCACGUAUUGACGGUACCUGGUCAAAAAGCCCCGGCUAACUACGUG